UACGGGGGGGGGCAAGCGUUUGUUCGGAAUUACUGGGCGUAAAGGGCUCGUAGGCGGCCAACUAAAGUCAAACGUGAAAUCCCUCGGCUUAACCGGGGGAACUGCGUCUGAUACUGGAUGGCUUGAGUUUGGGGAGAGGGAUGCGGGAUUCCUGGUGUAGCGGUGAAAUGCGUAGAUAUCUGGAGGAACACCGGUGGCGAAGGCGGCAUCCUGGACCGGCAUUGACGCUGAGGCGCGAAAGCCAGGGGAGCAAACGGG
rnacentral:rRNA from 1 species